AUGAAGGUAAUAGGAGAGACAUUUUCUUUUAUUUUAAAAAGAAAAGGCGCCGAAGAGGUAAAAUACCAAAAGUAUUGAAACUUUCAGGUAAAAGGACCGUUACCGGACA
rnacentral:ncRNA from 2 species